UACGUAGGGCGCAAGCGUUGUCCGGAAUUAUUGGGCGUAAAGAGCUCGUAGGCGGUUUGUCGCGUCUGGUGUGAAAUCCCGAGGCUCAACCUCGGGCUUGCAUCGGGUACGGGCAGACUAGAGUGCGAUAGGGGAGAUUGGAAUUCCUGGUGUAGCGGUGGAAUGCGCAGAUAUCAGGAGGAACACCGAUGGCGAAGGCAGAUUUCUGGGCCGUAACUGACGCUGAGGAGCGAAAGCAUGGGGAGCGAACAGG
rnacentral:rRNA from 1 species